rnacentral:rRNA from 1 species
UGGGGAAUUUUGGACAAUGGGGGCAACCCUGAUCCAGCAAUGCUGCGUGUGUGAAGAAGGCCUUCGGGUUGUAAAGCACUUUUGUCCGGGAAGAAAUCGCACCUGAUAAUACCGGGUGUGGAUGACGGUACCGGAAGAAUAAGGACCGGCUAACUACGUGCCAGCAGCCGCGGUAAUACGUAGGGUCCAAGCGUUAAUCGGAAUUACUGGGCGUAAAGCGUGCGCAGGCGGUUGUGCAAGACCGAUGUGAAAUCCCCGGGCUUAACCUGGGAAUUGCAUUGGUGACUGCACGGCUAGAGUGUGUCAGAGGGGGGUAGAAUUCCACGUGUAGCAGUGAAAUGCGUAGAGAUGUGGAGGAAUACCGAUGGCGAAGGCAGCCCCCUGGGAUAACACUGACGCUCAUGCACGAAAGCGUGGGGAGCAAACAGG